rnacentral:lncRNA from 1 species
AAAAAAAUCUCCCUGGAGCUCACAGGAACCAGGAAAACACAGCAGAAAGGGCUGACUUCUGUAAAUUCAUUCCCUGAUAGAAAAAGAAUAAAAAAAAAAAAAAAAAAAAAAAACUGGGGGUAUUUUGCAGGAAAAACAUCCACAUGAGCCCUGUAAGUAGAGGGAAGAUAAGGGAAAAAAAAAUAAUGAGGGCUCUUCAAAACCAGCUCAUGCAAAAGCUGCUUAUCCAAGGCAGCCUGGGAUGCUGCAAAUCCUCUGCCAUUUAUUCACAUUUCUCCCUCUCCAGCUGCUUUGAGGGUCCUGUUCCCCUGGGACAUCUUCUUUGUUUCAUACUGACAGAUUCCUUUGAUGAAAGGUUUGUUAUUCCCGUGCCAGGAACGGUUUUUGCCACGGCAGUGCCCAGAGCUGCAGGCAGUGUCAGUCAGAGCCAGAUCUGAGUUAUGUGACAGGGGAAGCCCCAUCCUGCCCAAAUCCCACUGGGAUUCCAGCAGGCACAGCCCCAGGAGGAAGCUCAGCAGUGUCAGGGACAAGGGCACAAAUUCAUUAAAGGGGGAAAAUGAGGGAUGGAUUGCAUUUUUUCUAAGGGAAUUUUUUUAGGCACAAGGGAAUAAAUCCUUCAUUUAUCUCCUCCCAGCUACUGCAAAGGAUUAGAAUUAGAGAUUCUUGGAAUUGUUUGGGAUGAAGGGACCUCAAAGCUCCUCCAGUGCUUUGUCACUGCCACUGUCAUGGGCAGGGACACCUUUCACCAGGUUGUUCCAAGCCCUGUCCAACCCAGCCUUGGACACUUCCAGGGAUCCAGGGGCAGCCACAGCUGGGCAGAGCACAAAAAAACACCCAGAGUUACCCUAAAUCCAAUUAUUACACCACUCAUCACACAAACUCCUCUUCUCCUGCUGUCCCCACCCUGGUUCUGACCUGAGGAUGAGGCUCAGGUGUGGAACAAGCCCCUGCUGGGCCCAUUUUCCACCCCCCUCUCCCAUGAGGAAUUGCUCACUGAUAUCAAAUUGCUUCAAAACUGCAACUCAGGGUCACCCCUUGGCACUGAGACAGCAGAGACACAAUCCCAGAGACAGAAAUUCUGGAAAUUAGUGUGAGACCCUAAAAAUACAGGUGCUGGUUUUAGUGAUUCUCCUCGUGAAUCCCUUUAUCCAGACCGUCCUUGCCCUCAAAGGGAACCCAACUUCUCUUGGUCAUUGUAACAGGUUUUUCAAACAAUUAAAAAAAGAUUAUGGGCAUGAAAAGGCUGAACUUUUGCUAUCUUCAUAAUUCCACAAUAAAUCUGCAUCCCUGGCAGACACAGCCUGAAAAUCAUGUCAUUUCCCAUGGACACUCUGACCUUCAAAGCAGACACAGCUUUGAAGAAGUGGUUAAAAUUACAAAAAACCCCAAACCAACACACCAAAAACACCUGUUAAACUGUCAGCCCAAGCAAAGCUAUUUCUCCCUUGAGGUUUACAGAACAAGACUCUGUCUCCUCACCACUUUCACACCCUUUGGAAAGUUAUUUAACUCUAAAUUGAAAGCAUUGAUAAUGACAUUGGAUGUCCCAGAUAAAUUCUGGGAAAUGAAAUGUGUCACGGGCUCUCCUGGGUUGGAAAGGAUCCCGUUAUCAGCAACCCUCUAAAUCUAUUUUUAAUUAAAGAUAAACCAGCAGCUGCAGAGAAGAAGGAGAAAGGGAAAAUGAAGCACUUGCUGAAGGAAAUAUUUCCUUAAACCCCCUCAGGUUUGUAUUUGCUGCGAAAAUAAAUUCCGGUUGGAUGGAAAUAUGUCAGACCAAAAGUGGUGAAAGUGCUUUGUAUCAAAAUUUCAUCAGGUUCCUUGUUUUAAUAAAACAUCUUUUUCUCCUCUCAAGUCCUCUUAAUAACAACUUCUCUUUCCCUACACCUUUUCAUCUUGUUUUCAUUUCAGCUAGAAAUCAUUAAAAGUUAAUUUGAAACUAUUUCAAGUAGAGUUUUUUUGUGAUUAUUUUGUUGGUUUUGACAUUUUUAGUAAUUAACAUUUUAUUUUAUUUCUUCUCCACCUCCAUUUCAUUCCCAACUCCACAUCCUUAGACUCUUGCAUUAAAAACUCAAGACAGGAUCCAGCUUUUAACAGCACAUUUGCAAUAUUUUAUGUGGAUAAAUUCCUUCAUUUCAUUGCUUUUCAGUAGCUGAUACCUUCCAGCCUGAGGCAAAUAAGGGCUUACAGAAAUUUUACUAUCUCAAGUGGAACUGAAGCUGAUUGUUACAAAUAGUCCCAUAAUGAGGUUAAAAGGGCCAUAAAUCUUCACAAAGUCAAGUUCCUUCCUGCUCUGAAGGCACAUUUGCAGCAAAGGAAAGUCUAUUUAGGCAGAGCUUGGAGCUGAAAAAUAAACUUAAAAGAGUAAAUCAGCCCAAGAAGCUAAAAAUCAUUGUCAGAAAAAUUAUUUACCCUGGAAAUACAAUUGUCUGAAUUUGGGAUGAACUCCGGGGAAGCAAGAAAUGGGUGGCAGGGAAGAAGGGAGAGCCACAUCACCCCAUUAUGGGGGAUUUCGUGCUUGAAAGGAAAAAAUUAAAACAAAACCAGAAUAGGCCCUGGAUUGAAGGAGAAGGGGCCUGGCUUUCACUUUUAUGUAAAAUGUGCCAGGUGAGAGCCUAAAAGGGUUUUGGCAGCUUAAGGAGCUGAAAUCUUAAGAUAUUUUUCUUUUCCCUGGGAACAUAUAGGAAGCACCAACACCUUGUCAAGCCCUGCACCCACUCCAAAUCCUAAAAUUUCCCCCUCUAACACCAGCCUUGGAAUCCGUUUUGCUCCAAGCACUUUCUUUGGGAGGCAGCAGCUCUCCAGGCACCCUCAGGGGUUUGGGUGCAGCCUUGGGCUGAGCAGGAACCUGGGAUCCAGGGAUAACCCCAGCACAGGGAACACCCUCACCCCUCCCCAAAACCCUCCUGGAGGAGCAGCUCAGCCCCUCAACAAUCCCAGGCAGGACAAGCACAGCCCAGGCUCCAGCCAGGAAUUCCAGAAUAAAAGGAGACAGGGCCAGGAUUGGAGACAAGCCCACAGCAAGACCCCAAAACUUCCCUCAGGAGCCAGGAUCAAAACCCAGCCUGGAAAUAAAUUAAAAUGUGCAUCCAAGGGUUGAUCCCAGAGGGAAAUUACCUGCUGAAAGGUCUGUGCUGGAGGCAGGCUCAGAGCUGAGUGUGCCCAAGGCAAGGAAGGGAAUGAGGGCUGAGCUGAACUGGAACCGUGAGCAGCCGUGGGGAGCCCCGGGUGAGGCUGCUCAGGGCCAUAAGGGGUGUUGAGGUUGCAAAGGUUUCUGUGGAACCGCUGCUGACUGUCCCUGCUGGGAGAUUGGGGUCUGGGGAUGAUCUGCAGCUUCCAGACUUUUCCACAAGAAGACACUGAGUCUCUCCCACACAAAUUUCCUUCCUUCCAGCAGCCCCCUAAAAAUCCUCCUUGCUUUUCCUACAAACCCAUGUCCCAUCUGCACAGUUGAGGCCUCUUUCCUUUCCUCACCACCACCCUGAGUGCUGAUUCCAGACUGGGAAUGUGUCCUGUGGGUCCAGGACUGGUCCUGGUCCAGGAUCUGUCCUCCAGCAGGUCCCAGCUGGGCUCCUCCAAGCCCAGGGCAGGAUGUGCCUGGGGAUGGGGCCAGGGACUGAAAUUUGGGAGAGCUCUCAGGAUCCAUCCCUGCUUCCCUCUCUGGAUGGAACAGAGAACAGAUUGAGAACCUGCUCCUGCUCCAGGGGCAGGGAUUUGGGGUUGCUGUGGUCUUUAGGAAGGAUAAAAGACCCUAAAAUCCAUGAGGAUGUUCUGGGGGCUGUGGUCUGGCCCGUGGCCUCAGGGAAGGUUCUCAUCAGGACAGGCAGCUCCAAAGCAGAGCCAAACCAACAGUGACAGGGGACAAAGGGACCAAGCCCUACAUGAGAAAUUCAAAGAAGAAUUAAGAAAUCUCUUAGCUCUUGCUGUUUCUUGGUCCUAUCUGUGAAACAGAGCUCACCCUUUCCGUGCAGACUGAGCUCAUGAAAGGCCACGAGGUGCUCAGAUAAUUAAUCAGAACCUUUAUCUAAUGCACAAACACUUCUGUCACAGCUCAGUGACCUGGGGAGCUAAUGACAGUUUGGCCACAGCUGCACAAAACCAGAAAAGGCUCUGAGCUGCAGAAAUGUCCCCACACCUCCUGCUCUGUGUGCUCCUGCAGCCUCUGCUCAGUGCUGAACGCUCUCAGGUUCAAAAGGUUCUGCAGCAGCUGCAGCACAGGGAUUUGUAGCCCAUAGAAUCCCAUGGGAUGUGGGAUUUGUAUCCCGUGGGAUUACCCAACACACCAGGGCUGGUUUGGGUUCUGGCCAAGGCAGUCACACUCCAGUCAAGCACAUCAGGAUGAGCAGUGGGGAGAAAUGGCCAAAUUUAAGUAAAGGGACAGAAUUCCCAAAGUGGGUAUUUCCUGGAGGAAUGGGAAACCCCAGGGAAUUCAGGCAGGCCCCUGUGCCAGUCUCAGCAGCCUUUUGCCCAAGUUUACUCUUCUGUUUAGAAAAAAGCACCUUCCCCUCCAAGCUGUUUGGUGACCUCUAUGAGAAACCCUUUGCUGUCUUCCCUGGUGACAUUUCCCUCAGCAAGGACACUCCCAGACACUCAGGCUGAAGCUGGACAAAGGGCUUGGGAUUCUUGUGGCUUGGGUGAGAGAAAAGCCAACUUGCCAGCAAACAAUGGGCAUUUCUUGCCUGCAGCUUCCACCUGACUUCACUUGCACCUGACCCUGUGCCUGUCUCUGCUCAGGGGCCGUGGUGACACCAUGUCCCUGCUGCCACCUGCCAGCCCAGGACUGCUCAGGACAGGAUUAUCCCUUUCCUACACCUCUCCCAGGGCAGCAUCUUCCAGCACUUCUUGCUUUCUGGGCUGGCUGAGCAUCCCCAGCCGCUGCAGCUGCUCAGCCUCUGGAAUGUCCCUCCUGCCCAGGAGCUGCUGUCCCCGGGGAAGGAGCAGUUCCCCUUCCUCCGGAGCAUCUGAGGCUGCUGACAAAAAGCAGGAUAUCGUUUUCCUGAAGCCCGCUGUCUCUGCCUCUGCAGAAAUCUAAUUAAUGCAUGCUAAUGAGGCUAAUUCAAAAUCCCUGAUCCAGCGACUGCCCAGUGCUUCUUCCAGGCUUCAGUUCUCCUUCCAGCUAGAAAGAAAGCAAGAAAAAGGAAUUAGCAGAGCUGAUCUUUGCAUCUUGACACUGUUACACAAUUUCACUGAUGUCUUAACCACAAACCAGCGGUUUCCUUUUUUUUUUCCUCCUCCACCUGUACAAGAAUUCUCUCAAUAAAAUGAUUGCACAAUGAAUUUAUGAGCUGCAGCUCUUCCAGACGAGGUGUUUGAUCAAGUGGUGGCUACAAAAGUUUUUUAUCCAGACAUAAAAUGAUGAGAUGUCCUGGGAAAAGCAGCGAUGGGGCUGAUAUCAAGGUGGAAGAGGAACCUGAGAAUUACUGACGAUUCUGGGAAACAACUGGGUUCUGUUUAUGAAGAGAAAACAGGAAAAAAACUUAACCCCAAAGUUUUAUGUAAACUCAGCAAGCAAACAAGCAAACCAGACCCGAAAAAAAAAAAAAAAAAA